CCAAUAGCGUAUAUUAAAGUUGUUGCAGUUAAAAAGCUCGUAGUUGAAUUUCAGGCCUGGCUGGACGGUCCGCCCUUCGGGUGAGUACUGUCUGUGGUCGGGUCCUACCUUCUGGCGAAGCGUCAUGGCCUUAACCGGCCGUGGCGGGGAACCAGGACUUUUACUGUGAAAAAAUUAGAGUGUUCAAAGCAGGCAAUCGCUUGGAUACAUUAGCAUGGAAUAAUGGAAUAGGACAAUGGUUCUAUUUGUUGGUUUCUAGGACCGUUGUAAUGAUUAAUAGGGAUAGUUGGGGGCAUUAGUAUUAAAUUGUCAGAGGUGAAAUUCUUGGAUUUAUUGAAGACUAACUACUGCGAAAGCAUUUGCCAAGGAUGUUUUCAUUAAUCAAGAACGAAAGUUAGGGGAUCGAAGACGAUCAGAUACCGUCGUAGUCUUAACCAUAAACUAUGCCGACUAGGAAUCGGGCGAUGUUGAAAAAAUGACGCGCUCGGCACCUCAUG
rnacentral:rRNA from 1 species